rnacentral:tRNA from 1 species
GUCCUUGUAGCUUAUACAAAGCAUGACACUGAAGAUGUCAAGAUGGCUGCCACACGC